CCAGACUCCUACGGGAGGCAGCAGUAGGGAAUUUUGCGCAAUGGGGGAAACCCUGACGCAGCAACGCCGCGUGAUUGAUGAAGCCCUUCGGGGUGUAAAGAUCUGUCAGUGGGGACGAAACUUGACGGUACCCACAGAGGAAGCAUCGGCUAACUACGUGCCAGCAGCCGCGGUAAUACGUAGGGGGCAAGCGUUAUCCGGAUUUACUGGGUGUAAAGGGAGCGUAGACGGUGCAGCAAGUCUGAUGUGAAAGGUCGGGGCCCAACCCCGGGACUGCAUUGGAAACUGUUGAACUGGAGUACAGGAGAGGUAAGCGGAAUUCGUGGUGUAGCGGUGAAAUGCUUAGAUAUCACGAAGAACUCCGAUUGCGAAGGCAGCUUACUAAACUGCCACUGACAUUGAUGCUCGAAAGUGUGGGUAUCAAACAGGAUUAGAUACCCCAGUA
rnacentral:rRNA from 1 species